AAAAAAAAAGUUUGUAUGGAGUUGGAAGGAUUACUUAGGUUAGCCGCUAGGGGCGCUGUUCCAACUGCAUACAAAAUUGAGUUA
rnacentral:pre_miRNA from 1 species